rnacentral:rRNA from 1 species
AGAGUUUGAUCCUGGCUCAGAAUGAACGCUGGCGGUACGCCUAACACAUGCAAGUCGAACGAGAGGCAAUCCUUCGGGGUUGCUGAAAGUGGCAGACGGGUGAGUAAUGAAUGGGAAUCUACCUAGCAGUAAGGGAUAGCCUCUGGAAACAGAGAGUAAUACCAUAUAUCACCGAUUUAUCGGGAAAGAUUUAUCGCUGUUAGAUGAGCUCAUUUCGGAUUAGCUAGUUGGUGGGGUAAAGGCCUACCAAGGCGAUGAUCCGUAGCUGGUCUAAGAGGAUGAUCAGCCACAUUGGGACUGAGAUACGGCCCAAACUCCUACGGGAGGCAGCAGUGAGGAAUAUUGGACAAUGGGCGAAAGCCUGAUCCAGCGAUACCGCGUGAGUGAUGAAGGCCUUCGGGUUGUAAAGCUCUUUUAGUGGGGAAGAUAAUGACGGUACCCACAGAAAAAGCACCGGCUAACUCCGUGCCAGCAGCCGCGGUAAUACGGAGGGUGCUAGCGUUAUUCGGAAUUAUUGGGCGUAAAGGGUGCGUAGGCUGUUUAGUAAGUUGAUUGUUAAAGCCCAGGGCUUAACCUUGGAAUCGCAAUCAAAACUGCAAGGCUAGAGUGUGAUAGAGGAUAGUAGAAUUCCUAGUGUAGGGGUGAAAUCCGUAGAUAUUAGGAGGAAUACCAGAGGCGAAGGCGGCUAUCUAGAUCAUAACUGACGCUGAGGCACGAAGGCGUGGGGAGCAAACAGGAUUAGAUACCCUGGUAGUCCACGCAGUAAACGAUGAGCGCUAGUUGUCUGAGUUAAAUUGGGCGACGUAGCUAACGCGUUAAGCGCUCCGCCUGGGGAGUACGGUCGCAAGACUAAAACUUAAAGGAAUUGACGGGGACCCGCACAAGCGGUGGAACAUGUGGUUUAAUUCGAUAAUCCACGAAGAACCUUACCAACUCUUGACAUGGCAAUCGCAGGGAACAGAGAUGUACCCUUCAGUUAGGCUGGAUUGCACACAGGUGUUGCAUGGCUGUCGUCAGCUCGUGCCGUGAGGUGUUAGGUUAAGUCCUUUAACGAGCGCAACCCUCGUCCUUAUUUGCCAACAGGUAAUGCUGGGAACUAUAAGGAGACUGCCGAUGAUAAAUCGGAGGAAGGUGGGGAUGAGGUCAAGUCAUCACGGCCCUUAUGGGUUGGGCUACACACAUGUUACAAUGAUAGUGACAACGGGAUGCGAAGCAGCGAUGCGGAGCUAAUCCUUUAAAAUCUAUCUAAGUUCGGAUUGCAGGCUGCAACUCGCCUGCAUAAAGCUGGAAUCGCUAGUAAUCGUGGGUCAGCUAUACCACGGUGAAUACGUUCUCGGGUCUUGUACACACUGCCCGUCAAGCCAUGGAAGUUGCUUCUGCCUGAAUACGGUGAGCUAACCCGCAAGGGAGGUAGCCGGACACGGUAGUGGCGAUGACUGGGGUUAAGUCGUAACAAGGUA